CCUCUACCUACAAGUUCCACAUUCACAGAUUCAACCAAUUGUGGAUGGAAAAAUGUAACAAUAAAGGAUGCAGGGGUGGGCACCUGUCGUGCCAGCUACUGAGGAAACUGGUGGGAUGGACUGCCUGGAGUUCAACACCAGCCUGAGCAAUAUAGGUUGGAUUGUUUUUGUUUUCUGAGACAAGGUCUUGUCAUGUAGUUCGAGCUGGCCUCAAACCAAGGCGAUCCUCUUCCUCACCCUCCAGAGCUGAGAUUACAGGCGUGUGCCCCCCAUGCCUGGCGCAAGCUCCUUUGGACAAUUUCUCCAGUCUCCGGAUUGUUUCUGAAGCUGUUCUAAACGUACCCUUACCAUGUUUCCCCUAAGGCAUCUUUCAGAGGAGCCACCGGCCUCCUUAAAGCCUCUGUGCAAAUAGAAAAAUACUUUCUUCUAGGAAGACACAGGUACUACUCUAGGACUAACCUAACAAGCACUUAAUCAAGAAUUUUCCGAUUCUUCUGGUGCAUUCCAAAUGAAAAUUUUACAGCAGAGCCACCUACUGCACGAUUCCAAGUACCCUGCCUGCCGAGGUACAGAUCCACGAAUCUAAGCCGAGGACUGGCCAAUGCGGAAAUCCGGGUAGCUCUACAAACCGGCCAACGUUAGGCACGUCGGUCACUCAAAGGAUCUUUAAGUCAAGUCGUAACAAAUAUACGUUCCUUGAAAGUAAUUACAAGGGCUCCUGCACAAAGUUAACAAUCCUUCAUUAUCCCGGUCCUCCCUGGUCCCCGCGCCCUUUUCUUCCACGCCGAGGUGCGACCCUAACAGCAACAAGGCGAAUGCCAUCUUAGAAAGCGGGAGCAGCGCGGCGGGAUUCACCCCGCAGCGAGGGGCCGCGGCGCGCGGCCGAGCGUGAGAAAGGGCCACCCAACGCUCCGCGCAGCGGGCCGCCAGUCCCUAGCGGAAGCAGGGCCGGUCCAGGCGCCCCGGGGGCCUCACCGAGCCGGGUCUUUAACCCAGGCUCCCGCUCUCCGCUGCGUUCAGGUCCGACCUCCCGACUCGCCCAGGCGGAGCCCCGGG